rnacentral:rRNA from 1 species
UGAAAACUAGAAUGAAAGGCUUAACGUUUUAAUAAUAUAUUAAUAAUACCAGCUUUCGAAAUUUUAUCAAAUAUAAAAAUAUAUUUAUGUAAUAAAUAGACGAUAAGACCCUAUUGAACUUUACCUACGUUUAGCUGGGGCAGCUCUCUAAUAAAAAUUUUAGAAAAACUUAUAUAAAUCAUUCAAUAGAAUUGAAUUCAUCAAGUUACCAUAGGGAUAACAGCGUAAUAUUAUUCUAAAGUUCUUAUUUAAAAUAAUGUUUGCGACCUCGAUGUUGAAUUAUUAUUCUUUAUUAAUGCAAUAAUUAUAAAAGUAGGUCUGUUCGACCUUUAAUAUAAUACAUGAUUUGAGUUCAAACCGGUGUAAACCAGGUUGGUUUCUAUCUUUUUGUAAUAUUUUUCUAGUACGAAAGGACAAAAAAAUAAAUUAUAAAUUUAAUAAAUAAAUUUAUAUAGCAAAUAAAUGCAUUAGAAUUAGAAUCUAAAAAUACUUAUAUA